CUUUGAUGACGCGGAGGGACAUUACCGAGUUUACAACUCCCAAACCCAAUGUGAACGUUACCAAACUGUUGCCUCGGCGGGAUCUUCUGCCCCGGGUGCGUCGCAGCCCCGGACCAAGGCGCCCGCCGGAGGAAUCAACCAAAACUCUUAUUGUAUACCCCCUCGCGGGUUUUUUUAUAAUCUGAGCCUUCUCGGCGCCUCUCGUAGGCGUUUCGAAAAUGAAUCAAAACUUUCAACAACGGAUCUCUUGGUUCUGGCAUCGAUGAAGAACGCAGCGAAAUGCGAUAAGUAAUGUGAAUUGCAGAAUUCAGUGAAUCAUCGAAUCUUUGAACGCACAUUGCGCCCGCCAGUAUUCUGGCGGGCAUGCCUGUCCGAGCGUCAUUUCAACCCUCGAACCCCUCCGGGGGGUCGGCGUUGGGGAUCGGCCCUCCUCUUGCGGGGGCCGUCUCCGAAAUACAGUGGCGGUCUCGCCGCAGCCUCUCCUGCGCAGUAGUUUGCACACUCGCAUCGGGAGCGCGGCGCGUCCACAGCCGUUAAACACCCAACUUCUGAAAUGUUGACCUCGGAUCAGGUAGGAAUACCCGCUGAACUUAAGCAUAUCAAAAA
rnacentral:rRNA from 1 species